GAGAGAAGGGAAGAGAAGUAUAAUGCACAUUAAAAAAAAAGCAUGUGUCACAGUGGUAGAGUUCCAUGAAUGAUGACAGUGUGAGCCCACCUCUGGAGCCACCACUACACCAACACAAGUUUCUCCUCCUUUUCUGCUGCCUGAUUGCCUCUCCUCCACCAGGGUGACCAGUUCCAGACUUGUGAUAGCAUGCGGCUUACAUCACCAAGCCUUUGGAUAAACAGUCACCUUCAAAGCGGAGGCACUUUCUGAGCUGAUGACUGUGUACUCUAGGGAAGGAUCAAGGUUGCAGACGGAGCAGGAGCUUUCACUGCGUGAUGUAUCAUAGACUCAUCCUUCCCUUGCACUGGCAUGUGCACAAUAUUUUAG